ACUUUACUCAUCAAAUAAUUGAGUUCAUGUUCUGAAAAUUAGCUGGCUAAUAAAGUCAGACAACUAAUGUUAGCUAGCUAACGUUACAACAUCAGAUGAGCUAACGUUAGUAACCCAACCAAUUUGCUAUAAUAUUAACUGGUAACGUUAUAUAUGGAUGUAAAGACAGUUUCAGGUUGGAUAUUCAACGGAUAUUUGAGCUUUUAAACCUCAAUAGCUUUCAAACCACUUGAGCCACAGACUCCAAAUAAGUGUCAUGAUGUUGGAAAAAUUGUGCACAACAUUACACAGGUCUUAUUUUCACGAUUUGGACAUUAAUUCACAUUGCAAAGCUAAUAAACGUGGAAAUGUGAGCAGCAUUUUGUAUUCCCAGUUGAAUUAGUUUGGGAGCGUAAACAAAGUAAAAACUUUUUUUACACUCGAAUUUCAAUCUCCUUGGUCAUGUGACCUACUGACCUCAAACAAGGUUCAGAAUGUGCACUCAGUGGGGCUACACAUUGCACACACUUUAGUUUGUCCCUUUUCAUCUCACGCAAUUUUACAUAMAUUUUUAAAACUUUAACAUUUCAAUAACUCCUUGGUCAUUUGACUUACAGACUUCAAACACGGUUCAGAAUGUCCAUUGACUACCAUUCUAUAUUGCACCCCCUUUAGUUUGUCCAUUUUCAUCUCACACGAUUUUACAGCAACUCUGGACGCGUGCCGGGCCCUUCUCGCGGAUCUCCCCAGCUACGGCGCUCGCCGGCCCCACACAUUGCAGACUUGAGGUGGAGACUAAACCCAUUGGCCCCGCAGUGAUAGGGCAUUGCAUGGAUCUGGCUCAUGCCCUACGAAGUGGGGAGAGGUAUCUCCAGCUUGUCUGGGGAGGGAGGCUUACAUUUGAUGUGGGUAGUACCAUCCAUGCCAAGUGAUUUGCUGCGGAACCAUAAAACGGGCGGAAGAAGCCUAGGUUCCCACUGGGCACAGAUCACUGGAUGUCAACUUGAUGAAAUUCAAAAAGAGCAUACCCACCUGUCGCGGUCUUACUCAAAUCACCCGUGGGGUGACUGUGACCCCAUCAUGUCAAAGUGAGGAAUAUCGAUGAGGCGCUGGUAAAGGUGGCUCUGUGGCUCUGUCCCAGAGGGCUGACUGGGCAAGCAAAUGAUUGAAAGAGGAUGAUUAUUUAUUGUUGCUUCUUCCAACACCCGGUCGAUGGUGACGCUAGAUACUGCAAUGGGUAUUUGGUUCUCAAGCAUAUAAGUAUUGCACUGGCACUUGAUGUCGAUUGGGUGUAAAAACCCAGUUAAAGUCCGCUGAAGGUUAGUAGCGGCAACUGAUGUCCAGUUUGUAAGACAGAAAAGCCUCUGAUGAUACCACUGGGUGUGACUCGAAUGGAUGUCAAUUUGAUGAUAUCUGACCGUAGCAUGCUACCCUUCGCUGUCACACUCAAACCACCUUCGGGGUGGCUGUGACCCCUCAAAGUGAGGAAAUUCGAUGAAGCGGGGGUAACCGGCGGGACAUAAUUAAGAGUCUCUUGAGAUAGCCAAAUGCCUCGUCAUCUAAUUAGUGACGCGCAUGAAUGGAUGAACGAGAUUCCCACUGUCCCUACCUAAUAUCUCGCGAAACCACAGCCAAGGGAACGGGCUUGACAGAAUCAGCGGGGAAAUUAGACCCUUUUGAGCUUGACUCUAAUCUGGCACUGUGAUGAGACAUGAGAGAUGUAGAAUAAGUGGGAGGCCUUGGCCGCCGGUGAAAAACCACUACUCUUAUCGUUUUUUCACUUACCGGUGGGGGGGCGUGCCCUGGGUGAGACCCGCUCCGGGGACAGUGGCAGGUGGGGAGUUUGACUGGAGCAGUACACCUGUCAAACGGUAAUGCAGGUGUCCUAAGGCGAGCUUAGGGAAAACAGAAACUUCCCUUGGAGAAAAAGUGCAAAAGCUCGCCUGAUCUUCAUUUUCAGUAUGAAUACAUACCGUGAAAGCGGGGCUUCACAAUCGUUCUGAAUUUUGGGCUUUUAAGCAGGAGGUGUCAGAAAAUUUACCACAGGGAUAACUGGCUUGUGGUGGCCAAGCGUUCAUAGCGACGUCGCUUUUUGAUCCUUCGAUGUCGGCUCUUCCUAUCAUUGUGAAGCAGAAUUCACCARGCGUUGGAUUGUUCACCCACUAAUAGGGAACGUCAGCUGGGUUUAGACCAUUGUGAGACAGGUUAGUUUUACUCUACUGAUGAUGUGUUGUUGCAAUAGUAAUCCUGCUCAGUACGAGAGGAACCGCAGGUUCAGACAUUUGGUGUAUGUGCUUGGCUGAGGAGCCAACGGUGCGAAGCUACCAUCUGUGGAAUUAUGACUGAACGCCUCUAAGUCAGAAUCCCCCCUAAACUUAACGAUACCGUAGCGGCGCGGAUCUUCGGUUGGCCCGGGAUAGUCUGCCUCUUUUGGCAGGUGAGUUGAGCCGUUCGUGACUGGGUUGGGGUGCAGCUGAAUGAGUUGCCACCCCACUCCUGAUGUACACCACAUGUUUGUGGGGAACCUGGUGCUAAAUCACUCGUAGAUUACCUGAUUCUGGGUCAGGGUUUUGUACGUAGCAGAGCAGCUCACUCGCUGUGAUCUAUUGAAAGUCAGCCCUCGACCCAAGCUUUUGU
rnacentral:rRNA from 1 species